rnacentral:rRNA from 1 species
UACGGAGGGUGCAAGCGUUGUCCGGAAUCACUGGGCGUAAAGGGCGCGUAGGCGGCUCAUGAAGGCUGUGGUGAAAGUCCGGGGCUCAACCUCGGAUCGGCCGUGGCGACUCGUGGGCUGGAGCACUGUAGAGGCGGGUGGAAUUCCGGGUGUAGCGGUGGAAUGCGCAGAUAUCAGGAGGAACACCGAUGGCGAAGGCAGAUCUCUGGGCCGUAACUGACGCUGAGGAGCGAAAAGCAUGGGGGAGCGAACAGG